rnacentral:rRNA from 1 species
GACAAACGCUGGCGGCGUGCUUAACACAUGCAAGUCGAACGAGACGAUUGAAGGCUUGCUUUUAAAAGUCGAGUGGCAAACGGGUGAGUAACGCGUAGACAACCUGCCUUUGAGAUGGGGACAACAGUUCGAAAGGACUGCUAAUACCGAAUGUUGUAUAUUUUCCACAUGGAAGAUAUAUUAAAGAUGGCCUCUAUUUAUAAGCUAUCGCUCAAAGAUGGGUCUGCGUCUGAUUAGCUGGUUGGUGGGGUAACGGCCUACCAAGGCGACGAUCAGUAGCCGGUCUGAGAGGAUGAACGGCCACAUUGGGACUGAGCCACGGCCCAGACUCCUACGGGAGGCAGCAGUGGGGAAUCUUCCACAAUGGACGAAAGUCUGAUGGAGCAACGCCGCGUGAGUGAAGAAGGGUUUCGGCUCGUAAAGCUCUGUUGUCGGGGACGAAUGUGCAGUAUUUGAAUAAAGUACUGCAAUGACGGUACCUGACGAGGAAGCCACGGCUAACUACGUGCCAGCAGCCGCCGUAA